UUGGUCAAUCGCCGAAAGGCUGAACCAGUAACUUGGAAGAAUGAAAAAAUGUAUUAAAAUAAUACAUUAACGAUUUACUCGUAUAAAGUUCUAAAUAGGAUAAUGAUAAUGACAAUUUCCUAUUUAUAAGUCUUGACCAAAUUACGUGCCAGCAGUCGCGGUAAUACGUAAAAGACUAGUGUUAGUCAUCUUUAUUAGGUUUAAAGGGUACCUAGACGGUAAAUUAAACUCUAAAUGAGUACUUUUUUACUAGAGUUUUAUAAGAGAAGGAAGAAUUUCUGGAGUAGUGAUAGAAUAUUUUAAUACCAGAAGGACUGAUAACGGCGAAGGCGUCCUUCUAUGUAAAAACUGACGUUGAGGGACGAAGGCUUGGGUAGCAAUAAGGAUUAGAUACCCUAGUAGUCCAAGCAGAAAAUGAUGAAUGUCAUAGACUAGAAAAUAUAUUUAGUCUAUAAAUGAAAGUGUAAGCAUUCCACCUCAAGAGUAAUAUGGCUAUAUCUAUUUAAACUGAAAUCAUUAGACCGUUUCUGAAACCAGUAGUGAAGUAU
rnacentral:rRNA from 1 species